AUACUCUGGUUUCUCUUCAGAUCGAAUAAAUCUUUCGCUUUUUACUACAGAUUUCCGUAGAGAGAAACAACCAUGAGUUUCAUAUAUAUAUAUGACACAUAAUAACUUCAAUAAGU